rnacentral:misc_RNA from 1 species
UGUGGAUGCAAAAAGCGGGUUCCUGUGUUGCAUACCCUAUUGCGACGGAAAUUUGUGCCUAAUGUUGUCCCUUUUCAACGCGACAUCCUCUUUGGGUGCUCGGUUGGACUAGAUAGUGGGGCUUGUGUUCCCCGAACAUCUCGUUUGAUGGUUCGGAUGGACCACGAGUGCUUACUUGUUCUCUCGGAUGCGGAAAUUUCUUCAUGGGUAUUGGGGCCAUUGGCCCUUGUUCCCAAUCUCAAGCGUUUAUCGCUUUACUUGAAUGACGCUCUUGCCUUGUCCUUGACCACGUGGAGCUCUCCACGAUGGAUCAUGCUUGGCGGACGUCGUGAAGGAAUGCUACCUGGUUGAUCCUGCCAGUAGUCAUAUGCUUGUCUCAAAGAUUAAGCCAUGCAUGUGUAAGUA